rnacentral:rRNA from 1 species
UACGUAGGGGGCAAGCGUUGUCCGGAUUUAUUGGGCGUAAAGAGCGUGUAGGCGGCCAGAUAGGUCUGCUGUGAAAACUCGAGGCUUAACCUCGAGAUGUCGGCGGAAACUAUCUGGCUAGAGUCCGGAAGAGGAGAGUGGAAUUCCUGGUGUAGCGGUGAAAUGCGCAGAUAUCAGGAAGAACACCCGUGGCGAAGGCGGCUCUCUGGGACGGUACUGACGCUGAGACGCGAAAGCGUGGGGAGCGAACAGG